GAUGAACGCUGACAGAAUGCUUAACACAUGCAAGUCGAUGGGGAAGUGGUGCUUGCACCAUGGCAACCAUGGCGGACGGGUGAGUAACGCGUAAGGGACUUACCUGCAGGACUGGGAUAACAGGGGGAAACUCCUGACAAGACCGGAUAAUGUCAUGGAGCUGCAUGGCUUUAUGAUGAAAGUAGACGCCUGCGGAGAGCCUUGCGUCCUAUUAGCUAGUUGGUGAGGUAAUGGCUCACCAAGGCGAAGAUAGGUAGCCGGCCUGAGAGGGUGGACGGCCACAAGGGGACUGAGAUACGGCCCUUACUCCUACGGGAGGAAGCAGUGGGGAAUAUUGGACGAUGGGGGCAACCCUGAUCCAGCAAUUCUGUGUGGACGAAGAAGGUUUUCGGAUUGUAAAGUGCUUUCAGCAGGGAAGAAGUAAGCGACGGUACCUGAAGAAGAAGCGACGGCUAAAUACGUG
rnacentral:rRNA from 1 species